UACGGAGGGUGCAAGCGUUAUCCGGAUUCACUGGGCUUAAAGCGUGUGUAGGCGGGCGGGCAAGUACCUUGUGAAAUCCCACGGCUCAACCGUGGAACUGCUGGGUAUACUGCCUGUCUUGAGCCAUCUAGGGGCUACCGGAACAAAUGGUGGAGCGGUGAAAUGCGUAGAUAUCAUUUGGAACGCCAAUGGUGAAAACAGGUAGCUGGGGAUGUGCUGACGCUGAGACACGAAAGCCAGGGGAGCGAACGGG
rnacentral:rRNA from 1 species